rnacentral:misc_RNA from 1 species
GUAGGUGAACCUGCGGAAGGAUCAUUACAGUGUUCGCUGCCCUCACGGGUAGCAAACCUCACCCUUGUGUAUUAUAUCUUUGUUGCUUUGGCACGCCGCCUUCGGGCACUGGCUUCGGCUGGCUCGCGCGUGUCAGAGGACCCCAAACUCUGAAUGUUAGUGUCGUCUGAGUACUAUCUAAUAGUUAAAACUUUCAACAACGGAU